GUUGUAUUAAUGAUGGUAGUGU
rnacentral:siRNA from 1 species